rnacentral:rRNA from 1 species
AGGCAGCAGUGGGGAAUAUUGCACAAUGGGCGCAAGCCUGAUGCAGCCAUGCCGCGUGUAUGAAGAAGGCCUUCGGGUUGUAAAGUACUUUCAGCAGUGAGGAAGGUGGGUAUGUUAAUAGCAUACUCAUUUGACGUUAGCUGCAGAAGAAGCACCGGCUAACUCCGUGCCAGCAGCCGCGGUAAUACGGAGGGUGCGAGCGUUAAUCGGAAUUACUGGGCGUAAAGCGCAUGCAGGUGGUUUGUUAAGUCAGAUGUGAAAGCCCGGGGCUCAACCUCGGAAUUGCAUUUGAAACUGGCAAACUAGAGUACUGUAGAGGGGGUAGAAUUUCAGGUGUAGCGGUGAAAUGCGUAGAGAUCUGAAGGAAUACCGGUGGCGAAGGCGGCCCCCUGGACAGAUACUGACACUCAGAUGCGAAAGCGUGGGGAGCAAACAGGUUUAGAUACCCUGGUAG